AUGGUAAUCGCAGCACAGCGUUGGGAGCGCUUUUUCGAGGCGAGGUCUGGUUGCAGAAUGCGCCGAUGCGUAGCAAAGCAGUUUAGCAUCCGAGCGUCUCGUGUCGAGUCACCAGACACGUCUGCGGUGAAGAGUUACACAGGGUGGUGACGUCACCGCAUUACAGUGCGCACGCAUUAGAUUUUCUACACACCUGUGUGUAUAUUUAUUUAGUUCAAAAACUGCGGAAGCCGCCUUUCUGUUUGGAAAUCGAGUCUGACGUAACCAUGCUUGUCCCAGUCUUCACACUGAAGUUAAACCACAAAAUCAACCCCCACAUGGUGACUGUGGGGAAGUAUGAUGGGAUGCACCCCUGCCUGACAGCAGCCACUCAGGCAGGGAAAGUCUUCAUUCACAAUCCACACACACGUGGCCAGCGGCUUUCAUCCAGUCGCAUUACUCAAAGCACGCAGGACUCGGACAUAUCCCUCCUCAAUAUAAACCAGGCUGUGAGCUGCCUGGCCUCGGGAGUGUUCAACCCAUCACACGAGCAUCACUCUCUCCUGGUGGGAACACAGACAGACCUGCUAGCCUACGAUGUGCACAAUAACUCUGACGUCUUUUACAGAGAGGUUGCAGAUGGAGCCAACGCAAUAGUGCUUGGGCAGCUAGGUGGAAUCUCCCCUCCUCUUGCAAUAAUUGGUGGGAACUGUGCCCUCCAGGGCUUCGAUCAUGAGGGAAAUGACCUUUUCUGGACGGUUACUGGAGAUAAUGUCCGCUCAUUAUGUCUUUGUGACUUUACCGGCGAUGGAAACAAUGAGCUUCUAGUUGGUUCAGAAGAUUAUGAUAUUCGAGUUUUUAAGGAAGAUGAAAUGAUGGCAGAAAUGACAGAAACAGAGACUGUGACAUCUCUUUGCCAUAUGCAUGGCAGCCGGUUUGGGUAUGCUUUAGCCAAUGGCACAGUUGGCGUGUAUGAUCGGACUGCACGUUAUUGGAGGAUAAAGUCCAAAAAUCAAGCGAUGAGUAUCCAUGCAUUCGAUUUGAACUCUGAUGGUGUGUGUGAGCUGAUCACAGGCUGGUCUAAUGGAAAGAUCGAUGCACGCAGUGACCGCACCGGAGAGGUUAUCUUUAAAGAUAACUUCACUUCCUCAGUUGCUGGGGUUGUUGAAGGAGAUUACAGGAUGGAUGGACAGAUUCAACUUAUCUGCACUUCCGUUGAGGGGGAAGUGCGGGGAUAUUUACCAGCCAGCAAAGAGAUGAAGGGAAAUCUUAUGGAUGCAAGUGUUGAACAAGAUCUGAUUCGAGAGCUCAGUAACCGAAAACAAAACUUACUGCUUGAACUACGAAACUAUCAGGAAAACUCAAAGGCUGGAACAGGGUCAAAGAAAAAGGAGAAGGAAGGACAAAUGGGAGUUAUUCCUGCAAACACCCAGUUACAGACAGCUCUAUCUGUCAACGCCGGCUCUGAAAACCAAAAACCUAGCGUAGACCUAACCAUUUCCACAUCAAAUGACACAAUUAUCCGUGCUGUUCUCAUAUUUGCUGAGGGGAUAUUUGAAGGGGAAAGUCACGUCGUACACCCCAGUGCGCAGAACCUUUCAGGCUGCAUUCGAGUCCCCAUCAUUCCUCCGAAAGACGUUCCUGUCGAUUUACACAUCAAAGCCUUCGUGGGCGGAAAAAGCAGUACUCAGUUUCAUGUGUUUGAGCUAACCAGGCAGCUGCCCCGCUUCUCCAUGUAUGCCUUGUGUACGCAAGGGUCUGCUCCCAAACCCAGGGGCAAAGCCACCUUCUCCAUCAACGACCGCCUGCAGAGGGUUGUAAUGUGGUUAAACCAAAAUUUCUUGCUUCCAGAGGAUAUUGAGGUUCCUGACGUCUGUUUCACUUCUCUCCGGGGAGCAGGACAGCUGUGCAUUAAAAUAGAACAAAGUGGGGAGAUUACAGUGAACACGGAUGACAUGGAUCUUGCUGGAGAUGUUAUUCAGUCUCUGUCAUCGUUUCUGGCUAUUGAAGACCUCAAUGUAGAUGCAGAUUUCCCAGACUAUUUUGAAGAGGUUCGGAACACUCUAGUUCAGGUGGACGAGUACCAUUCGGUGCAUCAGAGACUGACAGCAGAGAUGGCUGACCACUCCAACCUCAUACGAAACAUGUUGGUUCAAGCAGAAGAUGCACGUCUGAUGGGGGACAUGAAAACAAUGAAGAAGCGAUAUAUUGAGUUGUUCGACCUGAACAGAGAUUUGGUAAACGGUUACAAAAUUCGAUCCAACAACCACGCUGAGCUCCUGAACUGCUUGAGAGCUGUGAAUCAGGCGAUACAGAGGGCUGGACGAUUACGGGGUAAGUGAUGUGAGAGCUGUGAAUCAGGCGAUACAGAGGGCUGGACGAUUACAGGGUAAGUGAUGUGAGAGCUGUGAAUCAGGCGAUACAGAGGGCUGGACGAUUACAGGGUAAGUGAUGUGAGAGCUGUGAAUCAGGCGAUACAGAGGGCUGGACGAUUACAGGGUAAGUGAUGUGAGAGCUGUGAAUCAGGCGAUACAGAGGGCUAGACGAUUACAGGGUAAGUGAUGUGAGAGCUGUGAAUCAGGCGAUACAGAGGGCUGGACGAUUACGGGUUGGAAAACCAAAGAAUCAAGUGAUUACUGCAUGUAGGGAUGCCAUCAAGAACAACAAUGUGAAUGCACUCUUCAAGAUAAUGCGCGCUGGCAUUCAGUCCUGCUAACUGCGAUCACUCCAAUGGCUGCGGUAUGGAGAAGAAACUCAGGUUAAUGGCUGUCUGAGAGGAAUCUCAUUGCAAAGAUGUGUUUCUGCAUCAAAUAAGAAUCUCUAAAAAAAAAAAAUAAUAAAAUCAAUAGGGACUUGUUAUGUCAACAUUUAUAAAAUAACUACAAGUAAUAUUGUUUUAAAAUAAAAUACAUUGUAUCCGCCAGUAUUUUUAGUAAGUAGCAUUUAAUUAAGUUCAGCUCUUUUUUUUUUUUUUUCCCCCAGGUGGACAGAAGAGCUGUAUUGAUAAAGCAUUAGUGUAGCAAUAAAUGUGUUGGGCUGCAUUGCAAUUACUGGUGUACUAAGGCUUAAUGAAUACUAUGCACAAAUCUGUCCAAAAUGUAUGUAAAUGUUUGCUGUAGCCAAAGAGAGCAUAUGUUUUCAGUUUAGCGAGAAUGGCUGGAUUUUAAAAGAGAUCGAUGGUGAAUUAGUGUGUUACACUCUUUUUAGCUUGGAAAAAAGCAGUUCGAUUUUGGAUCUGGUUUUCUACAUAAACAUUAUCUAUGAAAAGGUAACCCUGUUUUUUUUUUUCUUUUGUAAAUACUUUGGUAUAUCUUUUUUGUUAUGUGUAUCAAAAACAAGCCUGUUUAUUAAUGGCAGUGCACAAAUGGCCUGAAUAUCCAGGUGUAUCCUUGACUGUAUGUAUUACAAUAACCUUGUCUGUCUUGUGUGGUUUCCUAUGUUUUGUUUGUAAUAGUAAAUUAUUUUCUAUCACCGUUUUACAUGUUUUGUUUAUAAAAAUCUGUGUAUUCCGUUAUUAAAAAUAUGUCUAUAUAUCCAGUGUA